rnacentral:rRNA from 1 species
CCUACGGUGGCAGCAGUGGGGAAUAUUGGACAAUGGGCGAAAGCCUGAUCCAGCCAUGCCGCGUGUGUGAAGAAGGCCUUCGGGUUGUAAAGCACUUUCAGUGGGGAAGAAAGCCUUGGGGCUAAUACCCUCGAGGAAGGACAUCACCCACAGAAGAAGCACCGGCUAACUCCGUGCCAGCAGCCGCGGUAAUACGGAGGGUGCGAGCGUUAAUCGGAAUUACUGGGCGUAAAGCGCGCGUAGGCGGUCUGAUAAGCCGGUUGUGAAAGCCCCGGGCUCAACCUGGGAACGGCAUCCGGAACUGUCAGGCUAGAGUGCAGGAGAGGAAGGUAGAAUUCCCGGUGUAGCGGUGAAAUGCGUAGAGAUCGGGAGGAAUACCAGUGGCGAAGGCGGCCUUCUGGACUGACACUGACGCUGAGGUGCGAAAGCGUGGGUAGCAAACAGGAUUAGAUACCCGAGUAGU